AUUGAACGCUGGCGGCAUGCCUAAUACAUGCAAGUCGAACGAGUGGCGGACGGGUGAGCAAUGUCUGGGAAACUGCCUGAUGUAGGGGGAUAACUACUGGAAACGGUAGCUAAUACCGCUUACCAUCCGAUGUGCCCUGCUGGGAUUAGCUAGUUGGUGGGGUAACGGCUCACCAAGGCGACGCUCCCUAGCUGGUCUGAGCGGAUUACGAGCCAACCGGGAAUGGGUACACGUUCCAGACUCGUAGGUGGGGCAGAAGUGGGAAAUAUUGCACAAUGGGCGAAAGCCGGAUGCAGCCAUGCCGCGUGUAUGAAGAAGGCCUUCGGGUUGUAAAGUACGUUCAGAGGGGAGGCGUUACCAGCAGAAGAAGCACCGGCUAACUCCGUGCCAGCCGCCGCGGUAUAC
rnacentral:rRNA from 1 species